UUACCAGACUCCUACGGGAGGCAGCAGUGAGGAAUAUUGGUCAAUGGCCGGAAGGCUGAACCAGCCAAGCCGCGUGAAGGACGAAGGUGCCAAGCAUUGUAAACUUCUUUUGUCAAGGGACAAAAUCAGGCUCGAGAGCCUGACCGAGGGUACUUGAAGAAAAAGCAUCGGCUAACUACGUGCCAGCAGCCGCGGUAAUACGUAGGGGGCAAGCGUUAUCCGGAUUUACUGGGUGUAAAGGGGGCGCAGACGGCAGCGCAAGCCAGGAGUGAAAGCCCGGGGCCCAACCCCGGGACUGCUCUUGGAACUGCGCGGCUGGAGUGCAGGAGGGGCAGGCGGAAUUCCUGGUGUAGCGGUGAAAUGCGUAGAUAUCAGGAGGAACACCGGUGGCGAAGGCGGCCUGCUGGACUGCGACUGACGUUGAGGCCCGAAAGCGUGGGGAGCAAACAGGAUUAGAUACCCGAGUACC
rnacentral:rRNA from 1 species